CCUACGGGAGGCAGCAGUGAGGAAUAUUGGUCAAUGGACGAGAGUCUGAACCAGCCAAGUAGCGUGAAGGAUGACUGCCCUAUGGGUGGUAAACUUCUUUUAUAUGGGAAUAAAACAUGGUAUGCAUACCCUCUUGUAUGUACCAUAUGAAUAAGGAUCGGCUAACUCCGUGCCAGCAGCCGCGGUAAUACGGAGGAUCCGAGCGUUAGCCGGAUUUAUUGGGUUUAAAGGGCGCGUAGGUGGAUUGUUAAGUCAGUUGUGAAAGUUUGCGGCUUAACCGUAAAAUUGCAGCUGAAACUGGCCGUCUUGAGUACAGUAGAGGUGGGCGGAAUUCGUGGUGUAGCGGUGAAAUGCUUAGAUAUGACGAAGAACUCCGAUUGCGAAGGCAGCUCACUGGACUGAAACUGACACUGAUGCUCGAAAGUGUGGGUAUCAAACAGGAUUAGAUACCCCAGUAGUC
rnacentral:rRNA from 1 species